rnacentral:misc_RNA from 1 species
GAUGAAGAACGUAGCGAAAUGCGAUACUUGGUGUGAAUUGCAGAAUCCCGUGAACCAUCGAGUCUUUGAACGCAAGUUGCGCCCGAAGCCAUUAGGCCGAGGGCACCCCUGCCUGGGCGUCACACGUCGUUGCCCCCCCCAUCUACUCCUUCGGGAUUGCGGGGGGCGGAUGAUGGCCUCCCGUGCGCCUCGCCGCGCGGUUGGCAUAAAUGCCAAGUCCUCGGCGACGCACGCCACGACAAUCGGUGGUUGCGAAACCUCGGUUGCCCGUCGUGUGCGGUCGUCGCGCAUCGAGGGCUCGAAAAAAUUGCCGAGUUCCGGCUCGGCUUUCAACGCGACCCCAGGUCAGGCGGGGUUACCCGCUGAAUUUAAGCAUAUCAAUAAGCGGAGGA